rnacentral:lncRNA from 1 species
CGACGGCCAGGACGACGGAUCAUCAAGGCUGCGACGAACCAUCACUGGGAUAGUCGCGCUGAGGCAGUGUGGCCUCAUCCUGGACAACGUGCGACGGACGAUCCGACGGACCAUCGAGUUUGCGAUGGACCGUUGCUAAGACCAUCGCAACCAAGGCAGUGUUUUAUUUUUCAAUCGAUGUGCGAUGGACGAUCCGACGGACCGUCAGACUUGCGACGGACCGUCGAUUCGAC